CUGGCUCAGGAUGAACGCUGGCGGCGUGCUUAAUACAUGCAAGUCGAACGAAGCACUUUGGACAGAUCCCUACGGGUGAAGCCGGUUGUGACUUAGUGGCGGACGGGUGAGUAACGCGUGGGUAACCUGCCUUAGUACUGGGGGAUAACAGUUAGAAAUGGCUGCUAAUACCCCAUAAGCGCACGGCACCGCAUGAUGGCAGUGUGAAAAAGACUUUAUUGGUAAUAAGAUGGACCCCGCGUCUGAUUAGUUAGUUGGUGAGGUAACGGCCCACCAAGACGACGAUCAGUAGCCGACUUGAGAGAGUGAUCGGCCACAUUGGGACUGAGACACGGCCCAGACUCCUACGGGAGGCAGCAGUAGGGAAUAUUGCACAAUGGGGGAAACCCUGAUGCAGCCGACGCCGCGUGAGUGAUGAAGUAUUUCGGUAUGUAAAGCUCUAUCAGCAGGGAAGAUAAUGACGGUACCUGACUAAGAAGCCCCGGCUAACUACGUGCCAGCCGCCGC
rnacentral:rRNA from 1 species